GGGGUUGUCGGAUCCCUUGAGCCUGUGGGUUCUGGGCUGCAGUGGGGCUAUGCCGAUUGGGUGUCCGCACUAAGUUCAGCAUCAGUAUGGUAAGCCCCAGGGAGCAGGGGGCCACCAGGUUGCCUAAGGAGGGGAGAACCGGCUCAGGUUGGAAACAGAGCAGGUCAAAGCUCCCGUACUGAUCAGUAGUAGGAUCGCACCUGUGAGUAGCCCCUGUACCCCAGCCAGGGCAAAAUGGGGGACCCAGUCUC
ensembl:misc_RNA Metazoa_SRP Metazoan signal recognition particle RNA